CUGAACACACAUUGGCCUGGAGGGAACGUUGCUUUUGCCUGCCUGCAGUGUGCACCCAGGAUUUCAACUCAGGCAGUGUUACAGAAAUCUCACCUCCAAAGUCUGCUACUACAGCAUGCCCAUCCUCAUAGAGAAGAAUAUUAUGACUGUAAGAAAAAAACAAGUAGACUUUUAAUGAUCUUUACUAUUUCCUAAUCCUACUGGCUCUUUAAGGAAGAGGACUUCAGUGAGUGUAUGAUUGCCUCAGGAGUUAAACAAACCCCAGAAAGCUGACAGAUUUCAGAGAUGGACUGAAGUUCAUGGUGGCCACAGGAGAAUCAAGAGCCAUAUAAUUGCCUAUGUCAUUUGCUACCAACAAACACUAGAUUAAGGUACACCCAGUGUCCUUAUUUGAAGAGAUGACAGCCCCAGAAGUGUAAACCUAAUAGCAGCUUCCUAGA